UUUCGACAAGGGCAAACUUAGCGAAAGCUAAGGACGCAAAGUCAUGGGCCUUAGGGUUUAAACUGAUGGCAGCCAGACUACCGAA
rnacentral:ncRNA from 1 species